rnacentral:rRNA from 1 species
AGCCGAAUUGUGGUGGUGAAGACGAAAGACCCGAAAAUUCGUAAGACCACAAAUAUCGCAUAUCCGAAUUCGCCAGAGCAUCCAUUUGGAUCUUCUGGCAACAGAAUUUCUUGACGACCAUAGAGCAUUGGAACCACCUGAUCCCAUCCCGAACUCAGCAGUGAAACGAUGCAUCGCCGAUGGUAGUGUGGGGUUUCCCCAUGUGAGAGUAGGUCAUCGUCAAGA